CUUCAGGACUGCAUUAAGGACAUCCUAUCUGAGGAAGCAGGGCACACCGUUUUCUAGGUGUCAGAGGAAACCUCAGCCUCUCUCCACCAGAAGCACAGAUGAAUGACCCAACUGAAUAACUAUCUGGACAGGAAACAGAAAGCUAGGCGAGGUGGUGCUAAUAACAGUAAAAUCACUAGCCUCUCAUAUGUGUAAAAGACCAGGCUCCUAGGGGCUACUUGACUUGCCAAACACAACAGUCAAGUCUAUGACUGAGCCAUGAUUUGAGUGCUAAAAGCUGAGCUUUGGGAAGACGAAACCAGCAUCAAGCUGAAGGUGGGAGAAGGAG
rnacentral:lncRNA from 1 species